rnacentral:rRNA from 1 species
UACGAAGGGGGCUAGCGUUGCUCGGAAUGACUGGGCGUAAAGGGCGCGUAGGCGGCUCAUACAGUCAGAUGUGAAAUUCCUGGGCUUAACCUGGGGGGCUGCAUUUGAUACGUUGUGGGCUUGAGUGGGGAAGAGGGUCGUGGAAUUCCCAGUGUAGAGGUGAAAUUCGUAGAUAUUGGGAAGAACACCUGUGGCGAAAGCGGCGCACUGGACCACAACUGACGCUGAGG